rnacentral:tRNA from 1 species
AGGGCUGUAGUUAAUUAUAACAUAUGAUUUGCAUUCAUAAAGUAUUGGAAACAAUCUGUCUUA